GGGCGAUUAGCUCAGUUGGGAGAGCACCUGCCUUACAAGCAGGGGGUCACUGGUUCGAGCCCAGUAUCGCCCACCA
rnacentral:tRNA from 1 species